GCCAUGUACUUUAAAUAGAUUUAUAAAGUGAUGAGCAUUCUUAUUUGUCUACCAUUGUAUAGGUAUAUGUGUACGUGAUAAAUUAAAAAUAACGUAUUUUUGGUAGUAAGGAGGGAGUAACCGUUAAAAAUAAAUAAAAUGGUUUAUAAGCAGUGCUAGGCACAACAGUAAGCAGGGGCUAUAGCAGCAGCUUUUUUUGGAUGGACAGAUGUAGUCAAAUGGCUGAUGAUUGCUGUGCCACGUGGACACACCCACCGUCUAUGAAAAUGGUUGAGGGAGGUUGUAAUUGUUUUAGAAGUUAA
rnacentral:lncRNA from 1 species